AAUGAACGCUGGCGGCAGGCCUAACACAUGCAAGUCGAGCGCGAUCCAUCCUUCGGGAUGAGGAAAGCGGCGGACGGGUGAGUAACGCGUGGGAAUAUGCCUCGGGGUAUGGAAUAGGCAUUAGAAAUGAUGAUUAAUACCAUAUACGACCUAAGGGUGAAAGAUUUAUCGCCCCGAGAUUAGCCCGCGUUAGAUUAGAUAGUUGGUGGGGUAAUGGCCUACCAAGUCUACGAUCUAUAGCUGGUUUGAGAGGAUGAUCAGCCACACUGGGACUGAGACACGGCCCAGACUCCUACGGGAGGCAGCAGUGAGGAAUAUUGGACAAUGGGGGCAACCCUGAUCCAGCCAUGCCGCGUGAGUGAAGAAGGCCUUCGGGUUGUAAAGCUCUUUCAGUUGUGAUGAUGAUGACAGUAGCAACAAAAGAAGCCCCGGCUAACUUCG
rnacentral:rRNA from 1 species